UUAAACUGAAAUUUUCAAAAA
rnacentral:piRNA from 1 species